GGGGCUGAAACUGUCCAGGGGGCGGGCAUUUGAAAUCCGUCGUUUGGAGUAGACUGUGAACGUCGGUUUGUACCUUCGAGAGCCAGUUAAUGUCUCUUCCGUCUUUUCCUUUCCCGACUCCCUCCCAGAUUCCUUCAUUCCGGUACUGCGUGAACGGAGAGCCGCGGGUAGCCGACACCAAACACCCGGCUAGCGAGAGAGCAUAGAAAAGGAUUACACCAAACUGUUUAAAAUCCAACGGCUCCUGCUUCCUUUCUCCUGAUCUAGACCCAACAAGCCUAGAGAGUUGGGCUACGGAAAGUAGUAUUUGCAUUUAAUUGGAUAUGAAGAAAGAACAAAUAUGUACGGGGGCAACCACGAUCUUUAUAAAGAACAUAAGUUCCAGGACAGCAGAAACCUUGUCUUUCUUGUUCACUGGUGUAUCCUCUGCAUAUAGAACAGUGCCUGGCACAUAAUAGGUGCUGAGAAUGGAUAAUCAUCUGACUUCCCUGAGAAAAUAGAAGCUGUUUUUCUCAGAGGACUCCUCAUCUCUCCCCAGCAGAUGUACUGAGCUGCUUUUGACUGUGACCUUACAUUGAGCUUUCCGUGUAUUAGAAGACGUGAACACACUGUUAGAUGCUUUGGAUACCGGAGAGAUGCUUUCCCAGCAGUAACCUCAAGAUGAAAUUUGCUGAUGCUCCAGACUAGAUUACUGGACCAUAUUAUAGUUUAAUCACCUCUUACUUAAUCUGAGCACUUUGCUGCUUCACUAGCUAACCAGUCUGUUAUUAAUUAGACAAUUAAAAACAAACAUUAAGAAACAGUUAAACAACUAAAAUACAGAAAAUGAAGGCUAGAAAAAGAUAUGCCAGGCAAAUUCUAAGCAACAACAAUAAAGAACUUCAUGUACCAAUAUUAAUUAUAAAAAGUAUUCUUUAGCAUUAAUAAGGAAACUUACGUGAACAUCAUAUUGCAUCACAGAUAUCUGUGAUAUUAACAAAUUAACAUUGAUACACAGAAGAUUGUAGAAUGUAUGCUUAUUGCAUUUAUAUAUGCAUAUAUAUUUAUAUGUUGCAUUUAUAUUUGCAUAUAAAAUCCUUUAACCAAAAAAGAGAAUACACAUUCUUUUUGAUAAACAAUGAAUAUGUACAAAAUUUAAUCAAGUAUAAAGUCCCUGAAUAAAUUUCAAUAAAUGUCUAUGUAUUAUUUUUAAAUGAUAGUAUUUAAUCUUGCCAAUUUUUUAACUUUAUAUAAAUGAAUCAUAUAUGUUUUUUGGUGUUUUGUUCCUUAAUGUCUAUUAUGUGUAGCUGUGGUAUAAUAUAUAGAAUUUCACUGCAUAAAAAUGCAUCCUAUAACUUAUUUUAAUGGUUAUGUCUUCAGUGUAUUAUAAAUAAUGCCACCUUGAACAUUGUUGGAAAUGUGCAGAGCUGUAUGUGUAUACUUUUCAUAUAUAUAUAUAUAUAUCUCCCAUCAUCAAGGUAAGAAUUCUCCCUGUCUCAUAAUCCCACUUGAUACUGUACCCUUGGUACUGUCCAGCUUUUCCAUUUGCCUCCUCUGGUGAGUGCGUAGUGACAUCUUCCUGGGGUCUUAAUUUACACUUCCUUGAGCACUGAUUUCCUUUCAUGUGUUUAUUGUUCAUUUGGAUUUCUUUUGGGAGGCAUCUGUCCAGUCGGCUGAAAUGUUUUUUCUUGUUGAUUCUAUGACUUCUUAAUACUCUGGGCAACAGUUCUCUGUCACUUAUUUGUGUUGUACAUAAAUUUUUCGUUCUUUUUCACAAGGCGCUUUAUGUAGCAAUAUUAUCAAAUGCAUUCUUUAAGUAGUGUAGCAUUAACAAGGACACAAAUAUAGGCAUCUUACUGCAUCACAGAAAUCCACUAGGAAAUUAACUCCAAAUUAACAACAUUGAUACACAGAAACAAUAUGUGUAUAGACAUGUAUGCUUAUUGCAUUUGGCUUUUUGGUAUAUUUUAAUAUAUAAAAAUUAAUACCAGAGCAGUUCAUUUUAUUAAUUUUUUUUUUCCUUUUUGCUUAGUGCAUGGUAUUUCUUGGUUAAAAACUUCUUCCCUGGAGAAGGAAGUGACAACCCACUCCAGUAUUCUUGCCUGGAAAAGUCCAUGGACAGAGGAGCCUGGCGGGCUGAAGUCCAUGGGGUUACAUGACUGAGCAUGUGUGCACGAGGGUGGAGGGAGAUGGGUUGGUAGCAAUAAAGUGGUAGAACUAAAAAAAAAAAAAAAAAAAAAUUCUUCCCUACUUUGAGAUUACAUUGAUGUUCUCAGAUAUUAUCUUCUGAAAGUUUUAUGGUUGGGCCUUUCACAGUGCUACUAGGAAUUCAUUUUUGUAUAUGGUAUAAUAGAAGAGUCUUAGAAUCUGAUAAAGCAAGUCUUCUCACCUUGUCCUUUUAUGAGUGCUUUGCUAUUCUGUGUCUUUUGCACUUAAAAUUUAAGUUGUCUUAUUCUACGAAAAUACUUUUGGGAUUUUGAUGGGGAUAAUGUUGAAUCUAUAGAUAAGUUUAAAACCUGAUGUUUACAAAAUUGAGUCUUCAAAUCUAUUAUCAGGUUAUGUCUUUUCCAUUUAUUUAAGUCUUCUUUAAGUUCCCUUAAGUAAAUUUAUAUUAUCUUCAUAGAAGUCUUGCAGAUUUUUGUUAGCUUUAGCCUUGGAUACUGUUUAAUUUUUAAUGCUAUUGUAAAUGGCAUCUUUCUUAAAUUUUAGUUGUCUAAUUGUUAGUUGCUGGUAUAUAUAAAGAUAAUUGUUUUUUAUAUAUUGCUGUUUUAAAUUCAGAGACUGAGCACUUUUAUUAAUUAAGAUGGUUCUUUCAUAGAUCUCUUGGACUUUUUACAUACAGUCAUUUCUAGGAAUAAUAGUUUCUUUUCUCCCCCUCCCCCUUUCCCUUUUUUCCUUGACUUCUUACAUUGCGUAAGACAUCCAGGACAUACUGAAUAAAACAGGUGGUCACAGGCAUCCUUGUCUUUUUCCUGCUUUGAAGGAGAAAACUUUGAACUUUUAAUUAUUAAGUGUGAUGUUUACUGAAGGUUUGGGGUGGAUGUACUUUAUUCAGUUAGAAAUUUCCCUCCAAUUUAUAGUUGGCUAAAUGAAUGGCAGAUUUUUAUCAAAUACUUCUCUGCAUCUAGUAAGAUUAUUUUUUAAUCUUAGUGUGUGUUGUUAUAUUAAUUUAUUUAAGUAUCAACUAACCUUUCAUUCCUGGAAUCAACCCAUCUUGGUCAUGAUGAAUAUAUUGUAGGGAUCAGUUUACUCAGUUUGUAUUUAGGACUUUUGCAUCUAUGCUUAUCAGUGAGAUUAGCCUUUUAUUUUCCUUUCUCAAAAUGUUCUUGUUGGAGACAUGUACAUACAGUUUGUAUCAUAAAAUUUUUGGGGAAAUAGUCUUUCUUUUUCUCUUCUUCAGGAAAAUUUGUCUAAGAUUGAAAUUAUGUCUUCUUUGAAUAUUUGGUAAAAGCUGCUGGUGUAACCAUUUAUAGAGUUUUCUUUGGGAAAAGAGUUUUGAUUGCUGCUUCAGUUUCUUUGCUGGUUAUGGAUAUACUCAGCAUUCUGUUGCUUUUUGUGUCGAUUUUGCUAUUUAUAUUUUUCUAGGAGUUUUUUCAUCUGAACUUUAAAGUAUGUCGGCUUAAAGUUGUUUUUACUGUCUUUACUUUCUUUUUAUGUCUGCAGCGUCUGUAGCGAUGACUUCUUUGUCUCUCCUAAUGUUGAUUAUUUGUGCCUUCUGCUUGUCUUUACCAUUUGUUUGUUGGUUUUAUUAGACGUUUCGCAAAGAAAACUACCAUUGGUUUUGUUCAUCCUCUUUAUAUUGGUUUUCUUUUUCAUCAGUUUCUGGUCUUAUUUUUACUAUUUCCUUUGUUCACUUUCUUUGCUGUACUUCUGACUUUCUGCAGUGGAUGCUGAGUUCAUUUAAUUUUCCAGUCCUUUUUCUUUUCUUAGAUAUUUAUUUAAGCCUAUAAAUCUUCCUUUUAAUACUGUUCACUAGUAUCCCUCUAGAUUUGAAAUGUAGGAUAUUCAUUUCUUUAGGAUUUCAUUUACUUUAAAGUAUUUUCUAAUUUUAUUUUUACUUCUUUAUGAUUACAAGUUUUAUUUAGAAAUGUAUUUUUAAUUUUACAAAAUAUAGAGCUUUCACUAUCAUUUUAAUAUUAAUUUUUAACUUUAUUGUUUUGUGGUUAGAGGACACAUUCUGCCUACUUUGACAUUUGUUAAAACUUGUUUUAUGGCCAGAGUUUUAUAGUCAAUUUUGCAAAAUUUCCAUAGUACUCAAAAAAAUCAUAUUCUGCAGUUUGGGAGACAGAAUAGAUCCCUACCUCUAACAAAAAUGUUCUAAAUGGUUGAAACAAAUAAAUAUGAAAAAGAGAAACUAAAACAAAAUCUUUGCUACGCUAAAAUAAGUGGAUACUUUAACAAGAGAUAAGGAAACAAACCAUAAAGGAAAAUAGUAAUAAAUUAGGCUACAUUUAAAUUUUGAAAACACCUGAAAAAUACACCAUAAACAGAUUGAAAUGGAGGUGGUGCCUAGGAUAAGAUAUUUCAAAUCUUACAAUAGACGUAGAAUUAGUAUCUCAAACAUUUAAACAUUUAAAGAACUUUGACAAAUCAAUAAAGGAAAACACUGAAAAAAUGGGCAAAGGACAUAAUGUAAUUGUCAAAACCCACAAAAAGUCAAUAAAUCAAUGAAAACGCAUGAGUCACACAACAUUAAUAUUAACAAAAGUAUAAAGGUGAUAAAUUACUUUGCCAAUCCAAUCACCAACAACUAAAAAUUUGACAUUAUCAAAUAUAUCUGGGGAUACAGAGAAAUAAACUCUCCUACUCUGCUAGUGACUGUGUUAAUUAGGAAAAUCCACAGGUAAGCAACUUGACAUUGCCUAAUAAACUACAAAGUAUAGUUUCUAUAUCAUUAAAAAACAAGACCAAAAUAUCGAAGCUAAAUAAAUUCUCACAUGUAAUUACUAAGACACAUGUAAGAGUUUUAAUGCAGCAUUGUUUACAAUAAAAAACAGUAAUAAUAUUCAUCAAAAGAGAAAUGCAUUAAAAAUUUUUUAUGACCCGCUAUAUAUGUACAUAGAUAAAUGCAUCUUGAAGCUGUUAAUGUUGAAUUUAAAAAUUACAAAAAUUAGUAUAUUUGGUAUAAAAUCACUUAUACAAAAUAAAAAUAGCAAACACACGAAACAAUACUGUAUAUGUGGACACACAGCAGACACAUGUGCAUGUGUGCUCAGUUGCUCAGUCAUGGCCAACUCUUUGUGAUCCCAUGGACUGUAGCCUGCCAGUCCAUGGAUUGUCCAUGGACAGUCUUCUUUGUUAAUGGGAUUAUCUCAGCAGGAAUACCGCAGUGGGGAGCCAUUUCCUACUUCAGGGAAUCUUCCUGACCCAGGGAUCAUUACUGCAUCUCCUGUGUUGGAAGGUGGAUUCUUUACCACUGAACCACCUGGACACACACACAAAAGACAUCCACAGAUAGAAAAUGAACCAAAUUCACUAUAGCUGUUGUUUUGGGGUUGGGGAGGAGAAGGAGAUUAGGAUUUGGGAUUUAAAUCUGAAAGGGAUUUCCAGUUCAUCUGAAGUAUUUAUUCUAUUUAAAAAUACUUGAACCAGGAAGAAGACCCUUUAGGAUGUCUGUUCAGCAUUACAUUGGAGAUUCUAGUCAAGGCAGUUAGGUAAGAAAAAAAAAAAAAUAAAAGUUAUCCAACUUGAAAGAAAUAAAACUAUCUUUAUUGACAGCUUGAUUUUAUAUAGAGAAAAUCUUAGGGAAUGACUAAACUACUACAGCAAAUAAGUUCAACAAGAUUGCAGGAUACACAGGAUAAAUAUACAUAAAUCAGUUGAUUUCUAUACACCAGCAAGAUCUGAAAAUUAAAACAUUCCAUUAACAAUAUCAUCAAAAAGAAUAAAAUGUUUAAGAACAAAUUCAACAAAAAAGAUAUAAGACUUCUACACUGGAAACUACAAAACAUUGUUAAAGAAGAUCUAAAUGGAAAAACAUUCCAUAUUCAUUGAUCAGAAAAUGGUAUUGUUAAGAUGUCAAUACUCCCCCGAUUGUUCUAUGGGUCCAGUGCAUUCCCUAUUGAAAUUCCUGCUGGCUUUUUUCCCCCAGGAAAAAAAGUUUAUCCUGAAAAAGGUAUAUAAGUACUAAAGACCCAAAAUAGCCAAAACAGUCUUGAAAAAUAAAAAAAAAUUUGGAGAACUCAUACUUCCCCAUUUCAAAACUUCACUGCAAAGUUUCAAUUAUCAAGCCAUUGUUAUAGGGACAGCUAUAUAUAGUUUGAUGACUAACUGUAAACUUGAAUAGGAUCAACAAAACUUUCAAGACAUUUCAACAGUGAAAGAAUAAUCUUUUCAAUGCGUUGUUGCUGGAAUAAUGGAUAUCCUUAAACAAAAGUCUGAAUCUGGAUUCCUCCUUCACACCAUAUUUGGAGAAGGAAAUGGCAAUCUUCUCCAGUACUCUUGCCUGGAAAAUCCCAUGGACAGAGGAGCCUGGCAGACUACAGUCCAUGGGGUCGCAAAGAGUCAGACACGACUAAGCGAGUUCACUUUCACUUUUUUCACCUCACACCAUACACAAAAACUAAGUCAAAGUUAAUCAUAGACCUAAAUGUAAGCUAAAACUAUCAAACUCUUAAAACAUAGAAAUGUAUCUCCAUGAUCUUGAGCUAGGCAAUAAUUUCUUAGCUAAAACACCAAAGGCAUAAGCGAUAAAACUGAUGGAUUCAUCAAAAUUCAAAACUCGUGCACUUCAAAAGAUGGCAGUUAAGAAGGUGAAAAGAUAAUCACAGACUGGGAGAAAAUAUUUGCAAAUCAUAUAUUCAAAAAAGAACUUAUAAUCAGGACAUAUAAAGAUCUCUUGCAACUCAAUUAAUUAUAACACAUGCAAAUAUGAGCAAAGGAUUUGAAUAGAAAUUUCUUCAAAAAAGAUAUAUGAAUGGCCAAUAAGCAUAGUGACAAAUGCUCAACAUCAUACGUUGUUAAGGAAAUGCAAAUCAAAGUGAGAUACAACAUCUUACUAAAGUGCUAUAAACAAAAAAGACAAUUACAGAUAUUGGUGAGGUUCCAAUUGAAGAAUUGGAACUGUCAUAUAUGGUUGAUAGAAACUGAAAAUGUUGCAGGCACUUUGGAAAAAUAGUAUAGCAGUUUCUCAAAAUGUUAAACAUAGGGUUAGUAUCAUCGUUCAGUUGCUCAGUUGUGUCUCACUCUUUGUGACCCCAUGGACUGCAGCACACCAGGCUUCCCUGUCCUUCAUCUCCCAGAGCUUGCUCAAACUCAUGUCUAUUGAGUUGGUGAUGCCAUCCAACCGUCUCAUCUCCUGUCAUCCCCUUCUCCUGCCUUCAGUCUUUCCCAGCAUCAGAGUCUUUUCCAAUGAGUUGUCUCUUUGCAUCAGGUGGCCAAAGUAUUGAAGCUUCAGCAUCAGUCCUUCCAAUGAAUAUUCAGGAUUGAUGUCCUUUAGGAUUGACUGGUUUGAUCUCCUUGCUGUCCAAGGGACUCUCAAGAGUCUUCUGCAACACCACAGUUCAAAAGCAUCAAUUCUUCGGCACUCAGUUUUAUGGUGUAACUCUCACAUCCAUAUAUGACCACUGGAAAAACCAUAGCUUUGACUAGACAGACCUUUGCUGGCAAAGUAAUGUGUCUGUGUUUUAAUAUACUGUCUGUGUUUUGUCAUAGCUUUCCUUCCAAGUGGCAAAUGUCUUUUAAUUUCAUGGCCAUAUUCAUCAUCUGCUGUGAUUUUGGAGCCCAAGGAAAUUAAGUCUGUCACUGUUCUAUUGUUUCCCCAUCUGUUUGCCAUGAAGUGAUGGGACCAGAUGCCAUGAUCUUCAUUUUUUGAAUGUUGAGUUUUAAGCCAGCUUUUUUACUCUCCUCUUUCACUUUCAUCAAGAGGCUCUUUAGUUCCUCUUCACUUUCUGCCACGAGGGUGGUGUCGUCUGCAUAUCUAAGAUUAUUGCUACUUCUCCUGGCAAUCUUGAUUCCAGCUUGUGCUUCAUCCAGCCCGGCAUUUUGUGUGAAGGACUCUGCGUAUAAGUUAAAUAAAACUGGGUGACAAUAUACAGCCUUGAUGUACUCUUUUCCCAAUUUGUAACCAGUCUGUUGUUCCAUGUCCGGUUCUAACUGCUGCUUCUUGACCUGCAUACAGGUUUCUCAGGAGGCAGGUAAAGUGAUCUGGUAUUCCCAUCUCGAAGAAUUUUCCACAGUUUGUUGUGAUUCACACCAUCAAAGGCUUUAGUGUAAUCAAUGAAGCAAAAGUACAUGUUUCUCUGGAAUUCUCUUGCUUUUUCUAUGAUCCAGUGGAUGUUGGCAAUUUGAUCUGUGGAUCCUCUGCCUUUUCUAAAUCCAGCUUGAACAUCCAAAUCCAGCCUGAACUGGAAGUUCUCAGUUCAUGUACUGUUGAAGCCUAGCUUGGAGAGUUUUGAGCAUUACUUUGCUAGCAUGUGAAAUGAGUGCAAUUUUAUGGUAGUUUGAACAUACUUUGGGGUUGGAAUGAGAAGUGACCUUUUCCAGUCCUGUAGCCACUGCUGAGUUUUCCAAAUUUGCUGACAUAUUGAGUGCAGCACUUUUCACAGCAUCAUGUUUUAGGAUUUGAAAGAGCUCAUCUGGAAUUCCAUUACCUCCACUUGCUUUGUUACUAUAUGACCCAGCAAUUCCAUUUCUAGGUAUCUAUACAAAGAAAAAAUAAAAACCUGUCUACUUAAUAUGAAUAUUCAUAACUGCAUUAUUCAUAAGAGCCAAAAGAGUACAACCCAAAUGUUAUCAACUGAUGGAUGGAUAAAUAAAAUAUGGUAUAUUCAUAACAAUGGAAUAUUAUUCAACCAUAAAGAGAAGAAAUAUGCCUACAAUAUGAAUGAACCUCAAAAACAUGCUGAGUGAAACAAGCCAGACACAAAAUAUCACACAUUCCAUUUAUAUGAAAUGUCCAGGAUAGGUUAAUCUACAAAGACAGAAAGUCAAUUAGUGGUUUCCUGGAGCUGAGAGGAAAUAGGCUGUGACUGCAAAUGGGCAUGAGGUUUAUACGUGGAAUGGUGGAAAGGUUCUAAAAGUACAUUGUGAUGAUGGCUGCACAGCUCUGUAAAUAUACCAAAAAAAAAAAAAAUCAAUUGUACACUUAA